UCAACUUUGUACUGUUAUAUUUUUGUUUUGAGUUUAGUUAAAUAUCAGGCCAAUUUUUUUCAGUUGGCCUUUGAUUGCUUAUAAUUUCAUCUAGGGCUUUGUUUGCUGUUUCUUUUUUUUUUUUUUUUGUAAUUUUUUCGUAAAAAAAUCAAUGGCUGUAUAUUACAAGUUUAAGAGUGCAAGAGACUACGAUUCAAUCCCAAUGGACGGUCCAUUUAUUUCGGUCGGUACUUUGAAAGAAAAAAUUUUUGAAUCAAAGCACUUGGGCAGGGGCACCGACUUCGACCUUGUGGUCACUAACGCCCAAACUAAUGAAGAAUAUCUUGAUGAAGCAAUGUUAAUCCCAAAAAAUACCUCUGUGUUAAUUCGUCGGGUUCCAGGAAGACCUCGCAUGCCUAUUGUUACUGAGCAAGAGCCAAAGAUGGAAAAUAAGGUGGAGGAUACCUCACUAGAGAAGAGUACUUUUAUGGCCGCCGAUUUAUCUGCCAUGAAAGAUACUGAAGACACAGAAUGGGAUGAGUUUGGAAAUGACUUAUAUGCAAUUCCUGAAGCACCACUAGUUCAGUCUAGCAAUGCGGUUCCUGAUGCGCCCCCUACAAAUAAGGCUGA
rnacentral:misc_RNA from 1 species